rnacentral:tRNA from 1 species
GCCGUGCUGUGCGGUGCCGGACUGGGCUACCUCUAUCACGAACAGGUAAAAGAUGAGCUGGCAGCUGGCCGUCUGGUUCCGGUACUGGAAGCGUGGUU